GAUGAACGCUGGCGGCGUGCCUAAUACAUGCAAGUCGAGCGAACAGACGAGGAGCUUUCUCCUCUGACGUUAGCGGCGGACGGGUGAGUAACACGUGGAUAACCUACCUAUAAGACUUGGAUAACUUCGGGAAACCGGAGCUAAUACCGGAUAAUAUAUUGAACCGCAUGGUUCAAUAGUGAAAGACGGUUUUGCUGUCACUUAUAGAUGGAUCCGCGCCGCAUUAGCUAGUUGGUAAGGUAACGGCUUACCAAGGCAACGAUGCGUAGCCGACCUGAGAGGGUGAUCGGCCACACUGGAACUGAGACACGGUCCAGACUCCUACGGGAGGCAGCAGUAGGGAAUCUUCCGCAAUGGGCGAAAGCCUGACGGAGCAACGCCGCGUGAGUGAUGAAGGUCUUCGGAUCGUAAAACUCUGUUAUUAGGGAAGAACAAAUGUGUAAGUAACUAUGCACGUCUUGACGGUACCUAAUCAGAAAGCCACGGCUAACUACGUG
rnacentral:rRNA from 1 species